AUUGAACGCUGGCGGAAUGCUUUACACAUGCAAGUCGAACGGUAGAGGGGGCAACCCCUCGAGAGUGGCGAACGGGUGAGUAAUAUAUCGGAACGUGCCCAGUCGUGGGGGAUAACGUAGCGAAAGUUACGCUAAUACCGCAUACGAUCUAAGGAUGAAAGCGGGGGAUCGCAAGACCUCGCGCGAUUGGAGCGGCCGAUAUCAGAUUAGGUAGUUGGUGGGGUAAAGGCUCACCAAGCCAACGAUCUGUAGCUGGUUUGAGAGGACUACCAGCCACACUGGAACUGAGACACGGUCCAGACUCCUACGGGAGGCAGCAGUGGGGAAUUUUGGACAAUGGACGCAAGUCUGAUCCAGCCAUUCCGCGUGCAGGAUGAAGGCCCUCGGGUUGUAAACUGCUUUUGUACGGAACGAAAAGGUCUCUCUUAAUACGGGGGACUCAUGACGGUACCGUAAGAAUAAGCACCGGCUAACUACGUGCCAGCCGCCGCCGUAA
rnacentral:rRNA from 1 species